GAUGAACGCUGGCGGCGUGCCUAAUACAUGCAAGUCGAGCGAACGGACGAGAAGCUUGCUUCUCUGAUGUUAGCGGCGGACGGGUGAGUAACACGUGGAUAACCUCCCUAUAAGACUGGGAUAACUUCGGGAAACCGUAGCUAAUACCGGAUAAUAUUUUGAACCGCAUGGUUCAAAAGUGAAAGACGGUCUUUCUGUCACUUAUCGAUGGAUCCGCGCUUCAUUAGCUAGUUGGUAGGGUAACGGCUUACCAAGGCAACGAUGCAUGGCCGACCUGAGGGGGGGAAGGGCCACACAGGAACUGAGACACGGCCCAGAGACCUACGGAAGGCAGCAGGAGGGAAUGUACGGCAAAGGGCGAAAGCCUGACGGAGCAACGCCGCGGGAGUGAUGAAGGUCUUCGGAUCGUAAAACUCUGUUAUGAGGGAAGAACAUAUGUGUAAGUAACUGUGCACAUGUGAACGGUACCGAAACAGAAGGCCACGGCAAACUACGG
rnacentral:rRNA from 1 species